rnacentral:rRNA from 1 species
UACGUAGGGUGCAAGCGUUAAUCGGAAUUACUGGGCGUAAAGCGUGCGCAGGCGGUAAUGUAAGACAGUUGUGAAAUCCCCGGGCUCAACCUGGGAACUGCAUCUGUGACUGCAUUGCUGGAGUACGGCAGAGGGGGAUGGAAUUCCGCGUGUAGCAGUGAAAUGCGUAGAUAUGCGGAGGAACACCGAUGGCGAAGGCAAUCCCCUGGGCCUGUACUGACGCUCAUGCACGAAAGCGUGGGGAGCAAAC